ACGGAGGGUGCAAGCGUUAUUCGGAAUUACUGGGCGUAAAGCGCGUGUAGGCGGUCCUGCAAGUCUGAUGUGAAAGCCCCGGGCUUAACCCGGGAAGUGCAGUGGAAACUGUGAGUCUUGAGUACGGGCGAGGAUGGCGGAAUGCGUGGUGUAGCGGUGAAAUUCGUAGAGAUCGGGCGGAACACCAGUGGCGAAGGCGGCCAUCUGGACGGUAACUGACGCUGAGACGCGAAAGCGUGGGGAGCAAACAG
rnacentral:rRNA from 1 species